GAAACCGUAGGACCAUUCGCGACGUCGUAAGCUUUCACUGGAACCGAACGCUUUAGAGUUCUGUGACCGAUUUAGUGAAACACUUGAGAAGCACGUUGAGGGUAGGAAACUGUAAUUGGGCAAGUUAAAAAGCAUUCGCUUAGGGCGUUCACUGCUGAACCAGACGGAGAGGCGUUGCUUGAGGAAACACUGGAAGAAGAAAAUUUGGAGGACGCCAAUCUGGUUGAAGUAGAGGUUAAAGCCGAGCCCUAGAGCGCUCGAUAGUUGUAGCUUUUAUGUUCUGCUAGAUUUUGG